rnacentral:lncRNA from 1 species
AUUGUGAGCCUCAGCGUCAGGAGAAACGGAGGAAGAGCUGCCAAGAAACGGGUGCUCGGGUGCUCGGCACCUCCACACCCAGCAGAGCUGCUGCCGAGAACUGCAAGAGAUGAAGAAACAGAGCCAGAGAGGAAUCUGUGCAAGUCACAUCGCACAGACAACAGCGGCGGGCAGCGUCCAGACCCCACUCUGGCCACGGGGGAGCUGCGACGCUAUUGCUGAGCCUUGGCAUUCAUAGCAGACCUGAGGAUCCCACUCCAUCCUCCAGCAGGCCACCGGCCUCCCAGGAUCACCAUCCACCUUGUUCCCUGAAGGACCAGCAGAGGGCAGAGAGGAACAAAGCCCUGUGCUUCUGCCCAUAAUCGUCAUUGUUCUCACUGCGUCAUCAAAUCCCUGAGUGGAUGGGAGAGACUAGGUUAGAAGCCUCUGGCAGAACCCUGGUGCCCUCAGCACACGCCGGCCCCACUGCCUUGAACAGUGGGCAGUGGGCAGUGAGGAAGGCUGGCCCUGCCCUCCAGGACCUCCCAGGCCAGAGCAGACAAGUCCUCUCGGGUGAACUCUCUGCGACUCCCCUGCCCAGCUGUGCCCAGAUGGCUCCAGGGAGUGGAAAAUACCACCAUCUGGGGACAGUUCUGACUGUUUAGGUGCCACUUGUUUCCAAAGAAGGAUUGGACACAGCUGCUCCUCCUCCUGAUUCGCCCACACCUAUUGGCCGCAGCUCCUACUUCCCUCCUUGGGGACACAGAGUCGAACCCCACUUCUGCGUGACAGCCCUUCUCACGCUCGAGAGCAACAGUUCGGUGACCCUCUGAGUCUGCACUUUUCCACCUGAACAGCCCCAGUUCCUUCACCGGCUCCCAAUGUGAGGCGAUUUCAAGUCCCCUCACCUCCGUGGAUUUCUUCCAAAACAAGGCCCACGGGCACUACAGCUCUGCUGAAGUGUGUGGAGACAGGGCCCCCACAGCUAUAUUUACACAGGCUGCUUCUUCAGAUGAAACCAACCAAUUGUUCACUGAAACUGCUCAUUGGGCUGCUAAUUUUUCCACAGAACCUAAGUCGUUGCAGACAGACCAGCGAUGCUGACAGACAGGUGGGGCUUAUGACCAGCAGAGGCAAACAGGAGAACUCCCACACAGCUGGAGUCAAAUAUUCACAGAGUAAGUGAGGAUGAAUGAGAAGCUUACUUCUGUGACCACGAGACUCCCACGCUCAGACAGGAACGUCUUUACUCUCCUCUGAUCCAUCAGAGAAGGCUUUCUGGAGGAGGAG